AUGCCACAGGACUGGAAAAGGUCAGUUUUCAUUCCAAUCCCAAUGAAAGGCAAUGCCAAAGAAUGCUCAAACUACCGCACAAUUGCACUCAUCUCAUACGCUAGUAAAGUAAUGCUCAAAAUUCUCCAAGCCAGGCUUCAGCAAUAUGUGAACCGUGAACUUCCUGAUGUUCAAGCUGGUUUUAGAAAAGGCAGAGGAACCAGAGAUCAAAUUGCCAACAUCUGCUGGAUCAUUGAAAAAGCAAGAGAGUUCCAGAAAAACAUCUAUUUCUGCUUUAUUGACUAUGCCAAAGCCUUUGACUGUGUGGAUCACAAGAAACUGUGGAAAAUUCUCAAAGAGAUGGGAAUACCAGACCACCUGACCUGCCUCUUGAGAAAUCUGUAUGCAGGCCAGGAAGCAACAGUUAGAACUGGACAUGGAACAACAGACUGGUUCCAAAUAGGAAAAGGAGUACAUCAAGGCUGUAUAUUGUCACCCUGCUUAUUUAACUUAUAUGAAACGCUGGACUGGAAGAAACAAGCUGGAAUCAAGAUUGCCGGGAGAAAUCUCAAUCACCUCAUAUAUGCAGAUGACACCACCCUUAUGGCAGAAAGUGAAGAGGAACUAAAAAGCCUCUUGAUGAAAGUGAAAGAGGAGAGUGAAAGAGUUGGCUUAAAGCUCAACAUUCAGAAAACGAAGAUCAUGGCACCUGGUCGCAUCACUCCAUGGGAAAUAGAUGGGGAAACAGUAGAAACAGUGUCAGACUUUAUUUUUUUGGGCUCCAAAAUCAGUGCAGAUGGUGACUGCAACCAUGAAAUUAAAAGACGCUUACUCCUUGGAAGGAAAGUUAUGACCAACCUAGAUAGCAUAUUCAAAAGCAGAGACAUUACUUUGCCGACUAAGGUCCAUCUAGUCAAGGCUAUGGUUUUUCCAGUGGUCAUGUAUGGAUGUGAGAGCUGGAUUGUGAAGAAGGCUGAGUGCCGAAGAAUUGAUGCUUUUGAACUGUGGUGCUGGAGAAGACUCUUGAGAGUCCCUUGGACUACAAGGAGAUCCAACCAGUCCAUUCUGAAGGAGAUCAGCCCUGCGAUUUCUUUGGAAGGAAUGAUGCUAAAGCUGAAACUCCAAUACUUUGGCCACCUCAUGCAAAGAGUUGACUCAUUGGAAAAGACUCUGAUGCUGGGAGGGAUUGGGGGCAUGAGAAGAAGGGGACGACAGAGGAUGAGAUGGCUGGAUGGCAUCACUGACUCGAUGGACGCAAGUCUGAGUGAACUCUGGGAGUUUGUGAUGGACAGGGAGGCCUGGCGUGCUGCGAUUCAUGGGGUCGCAAAGAGUCAGACAUGA
rnacentral:lncRNA from 1 species